UGAUGUAAACGCCGAACACUGUAUUUCAGAGGAAAAUACUAAAAAUGAUGACUGAGGUGGAGGAUGGUGACCUGACCGGUACAGGUCAGCAGAAAGAGAGCUCCGGUCAGAUCGGAAAAGAACUCCCACCUCCGGAUGUCACCUCUCAUGAGAAUAAAAGAAUAUUAGGUAAUGGUAAGGAGGCUUCCAACCUAAACACUAGCGAUGAUAUAGGAGCCUGUGAUCUGAACGAAACUGUAUCUGAAAAUGAAAGCAAAGAACACAAUUCUAGCACUGAUGCUAUUCAUGGAGACUCAGGUGUAGUCCAUGAAGACGGUGUUAUUGAAGAGGAUCUGGAGAUUCCUGAUGAUCCUCCAGUGAUCAGGAACACCAGCCUCCAUUUUACAGAGGACCAUGAUACACAGGAUACAGAAGAUAGGAGGACACAGUCUCCUCAUUCUGUCCAGAAAGGGUUCUCCAAGAUGAGCGUAUCGGAGAGAGUUGAACCUGGAGUAAAGAAACCUGUAGAAAUCCGUCCUGUACAUAUUGGAGAUAUGAAGAUCAGAUCUAAACUCAAAUUCGAGGUUGUUACAGCAAAGGUCAUGGAGGAGGGCGGGAAGAAGUUUGUGGCAUAUACCAUCAUGGUAAAGAGAGUGAGUGGGGAUCCUCAUCCUGCAGUUAUUCAUAGAAGAUACAAUGACUUCUGUCAUCUAUAUGAAAGAAUCCUUUGCACGUUCCAUUCUUCAGUCCUUGGCGAGUUCCAGUUUCCUAAAAAAGUUCUCAUUGGUAACUUUAAAGCGGAAGUAAUCAGUGAGAGGACCGAUGCUUUUCAUAAAUUUCUAAACCUGGUGGCUGGCAGCGACAAGUUGUUAUACUCCGAGUACUUCCACGGGUUCCUGUGUAGUGAGGAACAGAAUGAGGCUGUCUCCAACAUCAAGUUAGGACAGUACUCUGAUGCUGCUCCCCUCCUAGAGACUAUAUUCUACGUCAGAGAGAAGAUGUUUACUCUCUCCCAUAUUGCUGUUCUAGAGUGUGUUACAGAACUAGUCGCUUGUCUAGCCGCCGUUCAGGCUGACGAAACAGCUUACAGGUAUGCUCUUAUAGCUGGCCAAUGUAUCCAACUACAAGCCGGUCAUCCUUACUUAGAGAAAAUUAGAGUUCCAUUCCUUAAACUAGCUGAAUCUCUCUCAGAAUCCGUUGGACAUGAUCCUAGGCCCUACAAGAAGCAGUUAUCUGAACUUCGAUAUUCAGGGGUGAAAACUGACAGGGUUUCUACUCUUCUAGAUGUUAUCAGGGAUAAAUAUAUUCACACUGCUACAAAGACGACAAAAUCCUGGUGAAAACCAAGCUUAACACAGAUCUCCCUGAUACCCGUCCUUUCUUCCUUUCAUCGCAUUAUUCAUUCGAUUCACAAUGUGUUUGUGUACCAGAUAAUUACCAAACAUAUAAUAUUUUAAAAUUGUGUUCAAUAUUAUUGUAAAUGCAUAAAAUCACCAAUUGUAAAGAAAAUAUGUAUAGAAUCUAUGCGGAUGUGAUAAUUUAAUGUAAUUUAUAUGUUCAUGAUCUUUAUAUUUCCUUGAAUUAGCCUUCAAAAGUCAGAACGCUAAAAAAAGAUUUUUUUAUUGUUAACACACUUUAAACUGGUUGUAAAUGUAAACAUGUAACUUUUCUUUUAUGUACUUCUUAGCCAAAAAUUAUUAGGGGUCGAUGGUUUAUUUACACUCGGAUCCAAGAAUACCCAGAAAUCAGUGUACACAGUUCACAAAAUGUUUUUACGAUUUCUAGAUUUCCUUGAAAUACUAAUAACCUUAUAUUUAAUCUAAAUCGUAAAGUAUGUUAUACAUAUUUCAUGUUGUGAUUGUAUCGCAUUUCCGUUUUUACAGA